GCCGGAGUGGUGGAAUUGGUAGACACGUCACCUUGAGGGGGUGGUGGGAUAACUCCUGUGCUGGUUCGAGUCCAGUCUCCGGUACCA
rnacentral:tRNA from 1 species